AACGAACGCUGGCGGCAUGCCUAACACAUGCAAGUCGAACGAGACCUUCGGGUCUAGUGGCGCACGGGUGCGUAACGCGUGGGAACCUGCCCUUAGGUUCGGAAUAACUCCCCGAAAGGGGUGCUAAUACCGGAUAAUGUCUUCGGACCAAAGAUUUAUCGCCUUUGGAUGGGCCCGCGUUGGAUUAGCUAGUUGGUAGGGUAAAAGCCUACCAAGGCGACGAUCCAUAGCUGGUCUGAGAGGAUGAUCAGCCACACUGGGACUGAGACACGGCCCAGACUCCUACGGGAGGCAGCAGUGGGGAAUAUUGGACAAUGGGCGAAAGCCUAUCCAGCAAUGCCGCGUGAGUGAUGAAGGCCUUAGGGUUGUAAAGCUCUUUUACCCGGGAUGAUAAUGACAGUACCGGGAGAAUAAGCUCCGGCUAACUCCGUG
rnacentral:rRNA from 1 species